rnacentral:pre_miRNA from 9 species
UGUGCCUUGUGGUCAAAUGUUCUGACUGCUGUGCUGGCUGCUCAUGCACUAUGGAUGUUUGAUAAUAGGCUGCGUAUCUAC